rnacentral:rRNA from 1 species
GACGAACGCUGGCGGCGUGCUUAACACAUGCAAGUCGAACGGAAAGGCCCUGCUUGCAGGGUACUCGAGUGGCGAACGGGUGAGUAACACGUGGGUGAUCUGCCCUGCACUUCGGGAUAAGCCUGGGAAACUGGGUCUAAUACCGGAUAGGAGCCAUUUUUAGUGUGAUGGUUGGAAAGUUUUUUCGGUGUAGGAUGAGCUCGCGGCCUAUCAGCUUGUUGGUGGGGUAAUGGCCUACCAAGGCGGCGACGGGUAGCCGGCCUGAGGGGGUGGACGGCCACAUUGGGGCUGAGAUACGGCCCAGACUCCUACGGGAGGCAGCAGUGGGGAAUAUUGCACAAUGGGCGCAAGCCUGAUGCAGCGACGCCGCGUGGGGGAUGACGGCCUUCGGGUUGUAAACUCCUUUCGCUAGGGACGAAGCUUUUUGUGACGGUACCUAGAUAAGAAGCACCGGCUAACUACGUG